rnacentral:rRNA from 1 species
UGGGGAAUAUUGGACAAUGGGCGAAAGCCUGAUCCAGCCAUGCCGCGUGUGUGAAGAAGGUCUUCGGAUUGUAAAGCACUUUAAGUUGGGAGGAAGGGCAGUAAGCGAAUACCUUGCUGUUUUGACGUUACCGACAGAAUAAGCACUGGCUAACUCUGUGCCAGCAGCCGCGGUAAUACAGAGGGUGCAAGCGUUAAUCGGAAUUACUGGGCGUAAAGCGCGCGUAGGUGGUUCGUUAAGUUGAAUGUGAAAGCCCCGGGCUCAACCUGGGAACUGCAUCAAAAACUGGCGAGCUAGAGUAGGGCAGAGGGUGGUGGAAUUUCCUGUGUAGCGGUGAAAUGCGUAGAUAUAGGAAGGAACACCAGUGGCGAAGGCGACCACCUGGGCUCAUACUGACGCUGAGGUGCGAAAGAGUGGGGAGCAAACAGG